UUUCACGUAAAGUAAUGUGGCUUGCAUGCGGACCGACAAAUAAUGACCCAAGUGUGAUCGCUCACCACUUUCUGUCAUGUGUGCGAAACCUUGGUGUCACUCCCAUGAGACUGAGGACUGAUUGCGGCACGGAGAACGGGACCAUGGCCGCAAUUCAGUGCACCCUACGCCACCACCAUAGUGACUACUUCUCUGGAGCAUCCAGCCACAUGUAUGGCUCAUCCACAAACAACCAGAGGAUUGAGUCCUGGUGGUCCAUCUUCAGAAAGGGAAGGUCUCAGUUCUGGAUGGAGCUAUUUGCAGACCUAAGAGAUGCUGGAUACUUCAAUGGGAGUCGUGAGCACCAGUGUCUACUGAGAUAUUGCUUUGGUGAUGUUAUCCAGAAGGACUUGGAUGAGUGUGUGAGAUUGUGGAACAGUCACAGGAUUCGCCCCUCAAGAACAGCAUCAUGUCCAGGAGGUGUGCCCAAUGAGCUCUACUACUUACCACACAGGUUUGGCUCCAGAGACUGUGGAUUUAAAAUUGAACAAGCUGA